GUAGACUUUACCUGGAGAGCUUUCAAAAAUGAAAUGUAUUACAUUUUAAUUAAAGGAAAGCACAUGGAUGAUGAAAAAUAAAUCAAAUAACACUGUCGGACUUGUAAGGAUCCAUUGACUUUCAAGGAUGUGUCCAUAGAUUUCUCCCAGGAGGAGUGGAAAUGCCUAGACUCUGCUCAGAGGGCUUUGUACAGGGAGUUGAUGUUGGAAAACUACAGCAAUCUGGUGUCUGUAGGUCUUGCUGUGUGUAAGCCUGUCCUGGUCUCCUGGACAGCAAAGAGCCCUGGAAUGUGAAGAGAGGGGAGACUGUAGCCAA